rnacentral:rRNA from 1 species
ACGGGUGAGUAAUGCCUAGGAAAUUGCCCUGAUGUGGGGGAUAACCAUUGGAAACGAUGGCUAAUACCGCAUGAUGCCUACGGGCCAAAGAGGGGGACCUUCGGGCCUCUCGCGUCAGGAUAUGCCUAGGUGGGAUUAGCUAGUUGGUGAGGUAAGGGCUCACCAAGGCGACGAUCCCUAGCUGGUCUGAGAGGAUGAUCAGCCACACUGGAACUGAGACACGGUCCAGACUCCUACGGGAGGCAGCAGUGGGGAAUAUUGCACAAUGGGCGCAAGCCUGAUGCAGCCAUGCCGCGUGUGUGAAGAAGGCCUUCGGGUUGUAAAGCACUUUCAGUCGUGAGGAAGGUAGUGUAGUUAAUAGCUGCAUUAUUUGACGUUAGCGACAGAAGAAGCACCGGCUAACUCCGUGCCAGCAGCCGCGGUAAUACGGAGGGUGCGAGCGUUAAUCGGAAUUACUGGGCGUAAAGCGCAUGCAGGUGGUUUGUUAAGUCAGAUGUGAAAGCCCGGGGCUCAACCUCGGAAUUGCAUUUGAAACUGGCAGACUAGAGUACUGUAGAGGGGGGUAGAAUUUCAGGUGUAGCGGUGAAAUGCGUAGAGAUCUGAAGGAAUACCGGUGGCGAAGGCGGCCCCCUGGACAGAUACUGACACUCAGAUGCGAAAGCGUGGGGAGCAAACAGGAUUAGAUACCCUGGUAGUCCACGCCGUAAACGAUGUCUACUUGGAGGUUGUGGCCUUGAGCCGUGGCUUUCGGAGCUAACGCGUUAAGUAGACCGCCUGGGGAGUACGGUCGCAAGAUUAAAACUCAAAUGAAUUGACGGGGGCCCGCACAAGCGGUGGAGCAUGUGGUUUAAUUCGAUGCAACGCGAAGAACCUUACCUACUCUUGACAUCCAGAGAACUUUCCAGAGAUGGAUUGGUGCCUUCGGGAACUCUGAGACAGGUGCUGCAUGGCUGUCGUCAGCUCGUGUUGUGAAAUGUUGGGUUAAGUCCCGCAACGAGCGCAACCCUUAUCCUUGUUUGCCAGCGAGUAAUGUCGGGAACUCCAGGGAGACUGCCGGUGAUAAACCGGAGGAAGGUGGGGACGACGUCAAGUCAUCAUGGCCCUUACGAGUAGGGCUACACACGUGCUACAAUGGCGCAUACAGAGGGCAGCCAACUUGCGAAAGUGAGCGAAUCCCAAAAAGUGCGUCGUAGUCCGGAUUGGAGUCUGCAACUCGACUCCAUGAAGUCGGAAUCGCUAGUAAUCGUGGAUCAGAAUGCCACGGUGAAUACGUUCCCGGGCCUUGUACACACCGCCCGUCACACCAUGGGAGUGGGCUGCAAAAGAAGUAGGUAGUUUAACCUUCGGGGGGACGCUUACCACUUUGUGGUUCAUGACUGGGGUGAAGUCGUAACAAGGUAGCGCUAGGGGAACCUGGCGCUGGAU